rnacentral:rRNA from 1 species
CCUACGGGUGGCAGCAGUGAGGAAUAUUGGUCAAUGGCCGUAAGGCUGAACCAGCCAAGUAGCGUGAGGGAAGACUGCCCUAUGGGUUGUAAACCUCUUUUAUGCGGGGAUAAAGGUGUCCACGUGUGGAUGUUUGCAGGUACCGCAUGAAUAAGGCCUGGCUAAUCCCGUGCCAGCAGCCGCUGUAAUACGGAAGGUUCGGGCGUUAUCCGGAUUUAUUGGGGUUAAAGGGAGCGUAGGCCGGUCUUUCAACGUGCCGUGAAAUUUUGGGGCUCAACCAUGCGAGUGCGGUGCGAACUGGGGACCUUGAGUGCGCGGAAGGCAGGCGGAAUUCGUGGUGUAGCGGUGAAAUGCUUAGAUAUAACGAAGAACCCCGAUUGCGAAGGCAGCCUGCCGAAGCGUUACUGACGCUGAAGCUCGAAAGCGCGGGUAUCGAACAGGAUUAGAUACCCGAGUAGUC